rfam:Schistosoma mansoni strain Puerto Rico chromosome 1, complete genome
AUCUAGCUGACGAGUCCAAAAAAGAACGAAAAGCAGAUCCUGGAU